GAAAUAAGAAAAUCAAAAUUAAGCUUCUAACUUAAAUUUUUAGUGGUGAAAUUCCAUUAUUAUUUCU
rnacentral:tRNA from 1 species